rnacentral:tRNA from 1 species
GGGGCUGUAGCUCAGGGGGAGAGCGCCUCCUUGGCAGGGAGGAGGUCGAGGGUUCAAAUCCCUCCAGCUCCA